rnacentral:rRNA from 1 species
CGGACGGUGAGUAACGCGUGGGUAACCUGCCUUGCACUGGGGGAUAACACUUAGAAAUAGGUGCUAAUACCGCAUAAGCGCACGGUCCUGCAUGGGACAGUGUGAAAAACUCCGGUGGUGCAAGAUGGACCCGCGUCUGAUUAGCUGGUUGGCGGGGUAAAGGCCCACCAAGGCGACGAUCAGUAGCCGGCCUGAGAGGGUGGACGGCCACAUUGGGACUGAGACACGGCCCAAACUCCUACGGAAGGCAGCAG